UACAGAGGCCUCAAGCGUUGUUCGGAUUCAUUGGGCGUAAAGGGUGCGUAGGUGGCGAGGUUAGUCAGGUGUGAAAUCUCGGGGCUCAACCCCGAAACUGCACUUGAUACUGCCUUGCUAGAGUACUGGAGAGGAGAUUGGAAUUUACGGUGUAGCAGUGAAAUGCGUAGAUAUCGUAAGGAAGACCAGUGGCGAAGGCGAAUCUCUGGACAGUUACUGACACUGAGGCACGAAGGCCAGGGGAGCAAACGGG
rnacentral:rRNA from 1 species